CUAGCCUUCUGUCAGAGGUCAGGCGGUUCCCAGUUCUGGCAGUCGGUCAUCCAACUGCUCCCUGUCCUCCGCAUUGGGACUUACAUCUCGGUUGGAUCGGGAGCUGCGACUUUGUUCUGGUUUCACCGGUGGGCAGGAGACUCCCCCUUUGCUGCAUGCCUCCUCGACCUCUUCUCCAUCGCCGUCGACCCUUCGAUCUCAGUAGAGAGGGCCCUUAUUGACUUAGGGCGCCUCGCAUUUCGGAGGCCAUUUGGGCCUCCGAAAUCCGCCGCCUAGCAGGAGCUGCUUGAUUGCGUCGCUCUCCACGAGCCGGUAGUGGAUGCUGGCCCGGAUUAGGUUCGGUGGCAUCUUGAGUCGUCAGGCCAAUUCUCCACCAAGUCCCUCUACCAGGCCAUUGCCCCCUCCACCCCCCCCCUUACGGCAGUGUGGUCCAUCCGCCUGCCAUUGAAAAUCCGGAUCUUCAUGUGGCAAUGGAUCCGCGGACGGACCCCAUCUGGGGUGGAGGUUCGCAAGCACAAUGGCCCUGGUACCGGCCUUUGCCCGCUCUGUGGUAUUCUCGAAGACUUGAAUCACAUCUUCUUCUCUUGUGUGUCCGCUCAAUUCGUGUGGAGCUGCUUUAGAGAGGUGGUGGGUGGUAAUUGGUGCCACACCAACUUCCCCGACCUAUUCGCCGAACUCCAGAACUCCCCACUGCCCUCUCGCCACAUUAGGUGGAUUGAGAUUGGGGCCCUCGCUUGGACCCUCUGUACGAUCCGCAAUAAACUUGUGAUCCAGCGCAUUCCUCUUCGACGGGCUACUAAUGCUCUCUUCAAACUGUCUGAUUCCUUGCAGUUUUGGCGGCCGCUUAGCCGCCCACAUGACCGGGACGCCAUCUCCGUCUUCAUCGCCGACCUUCGCUCGAUGGCCGUCCGACUGUCGCCGCCGCUCCCUCCGCCAUCUCCAGAGCCAGACUAG
rnacentral:rRNA from 1 species